rnacentral:snRNA from 1 species
GGAUGCGAGGUGAUCUGACGGUGGCAUUUGUCACCCCUUGGCCACCAGGUUGAUUUGACUGAUUUGGCUGGGUCAGCAGGUACUCCUUUCCUCUCUCGCCCCCCACACGCAUCCCUCCCAAAGCUGCACGCCUGGUGGAAGAGGACAGCCUUAUCGGACAGAAGAGGACGAUUCCAUGGUCCAUGGUGUUUGUGUAACAGCAUUCCCCUGCUAGAACCUCCAAGCAAGCUCUCCAGUUUGCAUGCAGCUAAUUCCACACACGUGUCUCAACGUUGGUGGUCCUUG